CUAAUACGUGCAACAAACCCCGACUUCCGGAAGGGACGCAUUUAUUAGAUAAAAGGUCGACGCGGGCUAUGCCCGUUGCUCUGAUGAUUCAUGAUGACUCGACGGAUCGCACGGCCUUUGUGCCGGCGACGCAUCAUUCAAAUUUCUGCCCUAUCAACUUUCGAUGGUAGGAUAG
rnacentral:sRNA from 1 species